rnacentral:rRNA from 1 species
CGUGUAGGCGGCUUGACAAGUCAGACGUGAAAUCCCUGGGCUUAACCCAGGAAGUGCAUUUGAAACUGUCAGGCUAGAGUAAGGGAGAGGAAAGUGGAAUUCCUGGUGUAGAGGUGAAAUUCGUAGAUAUCAGGAGGAACACCGGUGGCGAAGGCGACUUUCUGGCCCUAUACUGACGCUGAGACGCGAAAGCGUGGGUAGCAAACA